rnacentral:lncRNA from 1 species
AUCUCACCACAAUUGCAGGGCACAAGAGUUACGAGUAUAUAAAAAACAUGGAAUCUUUAUUUUGGAGGGAUUCACAAAACAAUUUUGAGUUCCAUUGGUUGGGGCAAUGGGAAUAUCGGUGCACAUGUUCGUAAUUGUAAGGGGGCUAAAAUGAGUUUAGACAGUACUGAUUGACUCAAAGUUCGCCAUUGAAUCAUACUCGAUCAAUAUGGAAUUUGAGAGUUGGGCCAAAUGCGGAUGUCUAUAUGUGGAGCCCAAGAAAGGCGGAAUUGAGGUCGAUCGUCUUGGAAGUUGUCAGGAAGAAGCAAAUUUCACGAGGAGUCAUCUCCAAUUAGAGAAGAUUCACUUCCUAGUUGAGAUAAUGAGGGACGUGGAGAUCAAGCAAUAGAGUGG